rnacentral:rRNA from 1 species
GACGAACGCUGGCGGCGUGCCUAACACAUGCAAGUCAAAGGAAAGCAACUUCGGUUGUAAGUACUUGGCGCAAGGGUGAGUAAUGUAUAGGUAAUCUGCCCUUAGGACUGGCAUAACCUCGAGAAAUCGAGGACAAUACCAGAUGAUGCAGCGGGACCGCAUGGUCAUGUUGUUAAAGAUUUAUCGCCUAAGGAUGAACCUAUAUCCCAUCAGGUAGUUGGCAGGAUAAUAGCCUACCAAGCCUACGACGGGUAGCUGGUCUGAGAGGAUGAUCAGCCACAUUGGAACUGAGACACGGUCCAGACUCCUACGGGAGGCAGCAGUGAGGAAUAUUGCGCAAUGGGCGAAAGCCUGACACAGCAACGCCGCGUGGAUGAUGAAGUUCUUCGGAAUGUAAAAUCCUUUUGUCAGGGACGAACAUGUCGGUAUACCGACACUGACGGUACCUGACGAAUAAGCCACGGCUAACUCUGU